rnacentral:lncRNA from 1 species
GGGUACUGUGGGUAAAAGGGAGGAUAGGGCAUAAAGGUGGGAUAUGGGUUAUAGCUGAAGAAAUCCGACGUACCUCCCAUCGGAUACCCUGGCCCUUGCGGGUAGGGUGGAUACUGUGGUGGAAUAAAACCCGAGGCCUGAGUGCCUCCUUGGGACUCUCCCAUAUCCUCUACUGACAUACUCAUGCCCAAACUACUAUCUCUUCUCCGGUUAUCCUCCUCUGUUUCCAUCACAUCCGCUGACAUACCUUCAUGAACUGAUCUCCUCCGACCUGCAUCAAAAGACCUUCUAGGGUCCCUUGAUGUACUUUCCCUGAUCGUCCUACAAGAUCUUGCCCUCUGCAGAGCAGGGGAAUGGGCA